CAGGCUCGAGUCCCGCUCGACCCGACGACCUGCGCGCAUCGGCAGCCUAGGGUUUGGCCGCCGCCGCCGCCUCCGCUGGCCGCCGGCCGUCGCCGCCGCCGCCCCUGCCUCCGCGGCUCACUACGGCGACACUCCACAUCCGGCAGUGCUACGACGGGAGGUGGCAUGAACACAAGCAGAUCCGGUUGAAGAUGAGGAGAACGAAUAUAGCAUGGCAAUAUUCGUAGUAGGACAGCUCAUGCUUGUCUAGCGAUGGCAACAUAAGUUUAGCUAUGUCGAUGGAGGUCAUCAUCAUGUGAACCAUACAUGUCUUGUAUGGUGCAUGUCUUUGUAAUAAUAUUAUGGGAGCAUUAUCUAUAUAAAUGUAUGCAACAUCAAAGUAUAGUUGUUCAA